AGUCGAAGAAGCCAUGGCUGAUCUCUGAUGAUGAGGAAGAGAAGAGAAAGAG
rnacentral:sRNA from 1 species